rnacentral:rRNA from 1 species
AUUGAACGCUGGCGGCAUGCUUUACACAUGCAAGUCGAACGGUAACAGGGAGCUUGCUCCGCUGACGAGUGGCGAACGGGUGAGUAAUGCGUCGGAACGUGCCGAGUAGUGGGGGAUAACGCAUCGAAAGGUGUGCUAAUACCGCAUACGUACUGAGGUAGAAAGGGGGGGACCUUCGGGCCUCACGCUAUUCGAGCGGGCGACGUCUGAUUAGCCAGUUGGUGAGGUAAAGGCUAACCAAGGCGACGAUCAGUAGCGGGUCUGAGAGGAUGAUCCGCCACACUGGGACUGAGACACGGCCCAGACUCCUACGGGAGGCAGCAGUGGGGAAUUUUGGACAAUGGGCGCAAGCCUGAUCCAGCCAUGCCGCGUGUCUGAAGAAGGCCUUCGGGUUGUAAAGGACUUUUGUCCGGGAGCAAAUGCCUGGUGUUAAUAGCACUGGGAGCUGAGAGUACCGGAAGAAUAAGCACCGGCUAACUACGUGCCAGCAGCCGCAGUAAAAC